GGAAAAAAAUUAUGUAUUCUGUGUAGAAAUUUCAUUAAAAAUAUUAGUAUUAGAGGAAUUGAUGAUGCCAGCUUCUGAAAGAAUAACCUCAGUGUCCCAGAGAAAAAACUGGGUUAGAAAGCUGAAAAGUGGAAUUAGGAAUGCCUUAAGUAGAUAAAGAAACCUACCUUCUUUUUUUCUGUCAAAAGAGAAUUAGGACAUUGAUUUGUAUUAUAAUUAUAGGUAGUUCAUUGAAGAGUAUUGAGUUAGUUGCUAUUAUAUCAAGGGUUUUUUCAACAGGGUCAAGUGUCUGGAUCACCUGUAGAACUCUAGAAAUGUGUAGCUGUUGCCCACCAUUCAUCCAGCUGAAUUAUUGUCCACAGUUGUAACCAGCUGUUGUGUAUUUUUAAAACACUAGAGGAUAAAGACAAGACAGAGAACAAGCAUAUGAAAAUUUUAAAGCAGCCCCAAGAGUCAAAUACUCAAUAAGUCUUCCUUCAGAGGAGGGAGGUCCUCUUGGAGAUGUUUUUAAUAGGUUUGGAUAAUUAAAGUGGCACUAGAAAAACAUUUCUUUGCGAGAAUAUGAAGAUGAACUUAAUCCAAUAUAAAUAUGUUCAUGAAUAUAGCCACUUAAGGAAAGUGCAGAGAUAUACAAUUGUAAGCAAUUAAUGUACAGUAAGUUGGUACGUAUUCGUAAUUCUUAAUUUGAUAUGGACUAUUUGAUGGUGCUGUAUGUUUUUGAACUUGCUGUAAAGAUUAGUCCUGAGUGAGUUCUGUCUUAAAACAUUUUAGGAAAUGUUCAUCAGAGUCACCCUCUCUACACCCAAGUCAUGAUUUGAUGAAUUUGGCACAUAGGUGCUUGUAAAUGGAACAGCUUGGGGACUUCUUGAGCUACUCCACCACCAUAAGAUAAAGUUCAGUAACCAUAACCCUUGGCAUAACCUAAAUGAUAAUUUUUUUCACCUUUGAGCCAAAAUAAAACUCAGCUUUCCUCCUUGCUUACCCUGCACCACCAGACUUUUAGUCAUUAAUGUAGUAUUAAGUGGGAUCUUUCAUAGUUUCUUGGCAGUUGUCCCCAUUGAACUGGACAGCAUUUAUGCUGUUGGCUCAGUGUUAGCAUAUGUAGAGCCAUUUUCUUGUGAACGUUUCAUAAUAUUUUAUAUACAAGACAGAAAAAUUAUAGAAAAGCUUAUUUUUUAAACAUGCUAAAAUAAAGCAGUUGCUUAAGUGGUGAUGUACAAAAGUAUACAAUUGCAAAUAACAUUAACAUAGUAGAGUACUUCAUUGCAAUUGCUAAGCUGCAACUAAAUAACGUCUUACGUAAGUGUGAUAUAAAUGACCUUUACCAGUCCUAUGCUAUUUCAGUGGAAUAUUUUCCUGAUCAUAGGAUGGUACAGCAUUUACUCUGUCCCCAAAAUUGAGAAUGUAGUGAAAAUUAAGUGCUUUUUUUGUUUGUUUUUUGUAUUUCAAGUCGGCACAUGUUUAUUGAGCAUCUACUAUGUACGAGAAAUAUACUUUUCUAAUACUGCAGUGGAUUAAAACAAACAUCUGAAAUACAGUUCCUUUCAUCAAAAACUCCAUCAAAAAACAUAAGAUACCUCUGAAGUAAUCAACAGUUCUAUAUGUGUUUGUGUAAUACCCUUUGGGGAUUUAGCAACAUUUACUAAACACCUAAGCAGAUGUAUCAGAGUGAUCUGUUAGCAAGCAUUCUAAACAGAACGAUCUGAAAUAUUAAAGUAACAGCGCAGAACUGACAAAUAUUAGUCUAUUAACAAAGAUUUGAUGAAUGAAUAAAGAAAUCCAUACGAACUACUAAAAGGAAGGCUUGAAAGGUGCUUCAGAGGAGAUGGAUUUUCUUCUUGGCUAAAUAAAACCUGAUAGAAAUGCUGGUCCUUUUCUGGGGGUAGGCUUACUAAAAAGCCUAUACUUGGAAUUUAUGACAUUUUUCUUUGAGCUUGGGAUACUCAAGUUGCAAAGGUUGGAGAGUUCUGACACAAAGCCUGAGGACAGCUAGGUGGAUUGGUUGAAAUCUGGUCCUUGAGAUGAAGGGACAGAAAUGUGCUGUUCUGGGCCCAGCAUGGGUAACACAUCUGUAGGAAGAGAAUUGGCCUGGAAGGCAAGAAACCUUGGUUGAAAAGUUGAUUUUGAUACUAACCUAAAGUCUCAGUUUUUUAAAGGUCAUCUGAAAUCUAAGUACAUGAAGUACUGUUUUUGAUGAUGAACUUUACAUUUAUUUAUUUUACAUUUGGCAAGCACAGUGGAAGAAUCUCCAUUUCAACUCUGCUUUGUUUAUUCUUUGUAUAUUUAAUAUCAGGUAUUAUGCCUCUUGAGUUUCAGUCCCAUGACUAUUCUGUUUUCAGUAUUCAUGUUUUUGUCUUUCUAAAAUUGUUUGCUUCUUUGUUUCUUACUAGUCCUGAGAUAAUUUAUGAGCAAUUAUUGUAGCAUUUCAUCUGGCAGUGUAUUUGCCUAAGAUGGGUUGCUAGAUUUUCUUGUUUUCCGGAUAAACUCUGCACUUUCGUCUUUCUCAUUCUUGGAAUCCGUUUUGCAUUUGUUGCAGUUCUGGGUUCUUGUAUGGAAAUUCUAAUAUUUUUGGAGUACUGAGAGGAAGCCAGAUUUCAGGAGUUUAAGGAGUGAGUGAAAGGAAUGGGGAAAGAAGUAGGCACUGCAUGUAGAUAAUUUUUAAGAAGUUUGGCUCCAAAAGAGCGCAAAGCUGCAACAUGACUGGGUCAUAAACCAGUAAACUGCCUUUGGCCACCAGAUGUUAUUGUUACCAGUAGGUAAUACGCUCUUUUCUUCUUGCCUGGCACAUACGCAGUUAGGCAUGCAGCAAUUGUUUAAUGGAUAAAUAAGUUGUUAAAUUAUAACACUUUGAUGGAUUGCUUAAUCCUUUGAGUAAUAAUUGACUUACAUCACCUCUUAUGACCUGAUUUUUUUGUGACAUUUUAGCUAGUGAAGUGGACUGUUACAGACAAUGAAGGAAGUAGAACAUUGUUUAUGAAACCCUAGAUGGCCUGGACAGGAGACUAAAUUGGAAUCCUUAAUUCCCAGUGCGGAGAGGGCCUUGAUAUUUAAGAAUAAAAAUGUUAAUAGCUGAGCUUUAUAUCAUGUGUUUAAUGUCAUGACCAUAAAGCCAUUACUGUAACACUUAAGUUUAUCUUCUAAAGGAAGCCUGUGAAAUGUUUCCAGAAUGACUUGGUUUUAAGUGAUAUUAGUUAUUGUUUUCCUUUGGGACCUGAUUCUUUGUAGAUUCCAAGAUGAUGCAGUUUCGUCAAAGGCUGUUCCAUCCUCAGUUUCUUUAAAAAUAAAAAAAUACUCUGCAAUUAGGUAAAACAUUUUUAGAUAGACUACCUCCAUCUGGUCUCUUUUCCUGUCACCCAGGUUUUUCAUCAACCACAGCUCUAUGAAAGGACAUUGAAGGGUCUCCUGUUACACACAAUAUACUAAUGCUCAUUAUAGAACAUUAAAAUAAGAUGACAGCUUCCAUUAUCAGCCUACACAAAAAUCUUUCCCUACCUUCUGUUCUCUUAUUUCCCACUUAGUCUGUGUACUACUAACUAUAUUGAGGUAACAUGACCACCAAGUUUGAAGAUUCUUUGAGACCAGGAGCUAUACUGUAUUUAUUUUCACAUUUCCUUCUGUGAUUAAAACAGGACUUCUGUUUCUUUAGUAAAUAUUCAUUGAGUAUCCACUAGGUGUCAGAUAUUAUACUAGGUAGAUUCUGGGGACACCAAGGUAACUAAACAGGGAACAUGACAUUCGGAGUCUAACAAGUCUUGUGGGGGAGAAGUGGAAAAAUAGAUCUGUAAGUCAAAAAAGCUGCAAUGUAAUAUUAUAGUGGAAUAGAUGAUUUCCUGGUUUAAGAGUUCUAAAAAAAUCAUUUCCAAAAACAUCUCCCCAAUAAGUCUGACUCAGUGACUAAAUUUCUACCACUAGAAUGUCAUUAUAAGACAUUGCACUGUGGUUGCCUCUGGGCAGGAAAACUAAAGGAUAUUAAUGGGCUGUGAAAUCACUUUUUUAUUCCCCUUUUUUAAUUUUUAGAUUUACAUAGUACAAUUCACUCUUUUUGAUGUAUAAUUCUAUAGAUUUUGGCAAAUGCACAGUCAUGUAAUCACCACAAUCAAGAUAUAGAACAGUUCAA